CCACCUCUAGAGGACUCUUCCAAACAUGGAAGUGUCGCUCGCACGUCCCGCCUUCCUGCUUCGUGUUGAAUCUCUCUUCUCUUUCACUUCAUCACGCGCUCACACAGACAGAUUAACCUGAUAGAGAGAGAGAGAGAGAGAGAUGCACAGCAGUUGGUUCUCUGUGUUUUGUUCUUCAUUUGUAUUGGCAAUGCCGCUGCGCUCGGGCUUCAUUUUCUUGAUGGGUUUUCUUUUUGGUUGUUUUCGUGAGGAAAGCUUUUGCCCUUUUGAAGCAGAAAUUUGGUCAGCCUUUUAAAGUUCCUCGUGUUUGGUUCAUGUCAUUUGGGGAGGUGUUAGGAAAAGAAAGGGACGAGGUAAACAGUUGAUCGGUCUAAAACAAUGCCCUGAACCAAGGGCUUGCAGCUGAACUGUUUGAUCAAAUGUCUCAAUCACGUAACAUUCCGGUUGUUACAACUAUCGUAGUAUGCUAAGCAGCGAAUGCUAGGUUGCUUGAUUUAUUCCACGAUCAAGGAUAAAGACGGGCCUUCCUAUGUGAUGCAUAUCUUUUAGUGUUGGAGAUAGGGCUUCCAAGGAGGGUAAAGAGGCUCUGCGUCAGGUCGAUCCUUUUGCAAGCUUGACUUACCAAUAAGCCAAGACCUCUGGAGCCGUUACUAGUGCAGAUUGUGGAGCAAUAAAGAUGAUAUUUCCUGCAGGAGAUGACGAUGCAUUGGUUGUAGCAAAAGCUCAAGCCGUGGUGUCGCUACACCAGAAAGAAGCAGAGUUACUGAGUCCCAUAGCCAAGGUUCCUAAAGAAAGAACAAGCUUAAAUACUCAGAAAAGGAAAAGCAUCAUAAAACCGUGUUCUUCGUCGGUCUCAAUCGCCAGAAAUCUGCCGUGGCCGUCGAUUUCCGCCACUCCCACUGCCCGCGCCGAAACUCCUCUUUUCUGCCCUGUUUUCUGGUGGGAAGUUUGAAGUACUCCGUUCCAUUCGGAGCUCCUUGGCCGGUGCCCAUCUUCAUUGCUGACACGUCUAGGACCUCCAUUCUCCGAUCUGCUCAGCGGAUGAGGCUAGAAAUCCAAAUCACCAUGGUAAUUUCCAUUCGCUCUGUUUCUAUCGCUUACGAAGGAAACAGAGGCCUUGAGCUCUAUUUGAUGAUUGAGAGAAAGAUUCUCGUCGUUCUGUA